GCCUCCGGUAGAGUGGUUAGUGUUCUAGUCUGGUAGACUGGAGGUGGUGGGUUCGAUUCCCACCUGAGGCA
rnacentral:tRNA from 1 species